GUGCUUGCUUCUGCAGCUUGUAUACUAAAAUUGGAACAAUACAGAGCUUAUUAGGGACCCUGUACAAGGAUGACACUCAAAUUUGUAAAGCAUUCCAUAUUUCC
ensembl:snRNA Gm26271 predicted gene, 26271